ACAGUGGACGCGAGCAUCUGUGGCCAAGUUUUUAAGGGCGCACGGUGGAUGCCUUGGCACCAGGAACCGAUGAAGGACGUGGGAGGCCGCGAUAGGCCCCGGGGAGCUGUCAACCGAGCUGUGAUCCGGGGGUGUCCGAAUGGGGAAACCCGGCAGUCGUCAUGGGCUGUCACCCGCUGCUGAACACAUAGGCAGUGUGGAGGGAACGCGGGGAAGUGAAACAUCUCAGUACCCGCAGGAAGAGAAAACAACCGUGAUUCCGGGAGUAGUGGCGAGCGAAACUGGAUGAGGCCAAACCGUAUGCGUGUGAUACCCGGCAGGGGUUGCGUAUGCGGGGUUGUGGGAUCUCUCUUCUGUCGUCUGCCGGCGGCAGGACGAGUCAGAAACCGUUGAUGUAGGCGAAGGACAUGCGAAAGGUCCGGCGUAGAGGGUAAGACCCCCGUAGUCGAAACGUCAGCGGCUCGUUUGAGAGACACCCAAGUAGCACGGGGCCCGAGAAAUCCCGUGUGAAUCUGGCGGGACCACCCGUUAAGCCUAAAUAUUCCCUGGUGACCGAUAGCGGAUAGUACCGUGAGGGAAUGGUGAAAAGUACCGCGGGAGCGGAGUGAAAUAGUACCUGAAACCGUGUGCCUACAAGCCGUGGGAGCGUCGCAUCGAGUGCUUGCACUUGGUGUCGUGACUGCGUGCCUUUUGAAGAAUGAGCCUGCGAGUUUGCGGUGUGUUGCGAGGUUAACCCGUGUGGGGAAGCCGUAGCGAAAGCGAGUCCGAAGAGGGCGACCUAGUAGCGCGCCCAAGACCCGAAGCGGGGUGAUCUAGCCAUGGGCAGGUUGAAGCGGAGGUAAGACUUCGUGGAGGACCGAACCCACCAGGGUUGAAAACCUGGGGGAUGACCUGUGGUUAGGGGUGAAAGGCCAAUCAAACUCCGUGAUAGCUGGUUCUCCCCGAAAUGCAUUUAGGUGCAGCGUCGUGUGUUUCUUGCCGGAGGUAGAGCACUGGAUAGGCGAUGGGCCCUACCGGGUUACUGACCUUAGCCAAACUCCGAAUGCCGGUAAGUGAGAGCGCGGCAGUGAGACUGUGGGGGAUAAGCUCCAUGGUCGAGAGGGAAACAGCCCAGAGCAUCGACUAAGGCCCCUAAGCGUACGCUAAGUGGGAAAGGAUGUGGAGUCGCAGAGACAACCAGGAGGUUGGCUUAGAAGCAGCCACCCUUGAAAGAGUGCGUAAUAGCUCACUGGUCAAGUGAUUCCGCGCCGACAAUGUAGCGGGGCUCAAGCGUACCGCCGAAGUCGUGUCACUGCAGCAUGAGACCUAACGGUUGUUGUGGUGGGUAGGGGAGCGUCGUGUGCCGGGUGAAGCAGCGCCGGAAGGUAGUUGUGGACGGUUCACGAGUGAGAAUGCAGGCAUGAGUAGCGAUACACACGUGGGAAACGUGUGCGCCGAUUGACUAAGGGUUCCUGGGUCAAGCUGAUCUGCCCAGGGUAAGUCGGGACCUAAGGCGAGGCCGACAGGCGUAGUCGAUGGACAACC
rnacentral:rRNA from 1 species